CAACGCCGCGUGGAGGAUGAAGUCCCUUGGGACGUAAACUCCUUUCGAUCGGGACGAUUAUGACGGUACCGGAAGAAGAAGCCCCGGCUAACUUCGUGC
rnacentral:rRNA from 1 species